rnacentral:lncRNA from 1 species
UAAGCUUGCACACCAACCAUCGUAAGGGAGGUCGGGCGUCCCGUUAUCAAUCAAACUUCACGCGUGGUUGUCCGUGAUACACCGCCGCUGCUGAUCUUUUUUACGUAUGAACUUCAGCACGCGUCGUACGUAUCACGCGUGAAUUUGAAGAACAACAACCUCAUUUCUUGGAUGCUUGUUUUCUUUGCGAAAAACCACUUGGUCGACAAAGACAUCUUUAUGCACGGGUAAAAUUGGCUCCAAUUUCAACAAAGUUUUCGUUUUUUGUUGUUAAUUGAAUUGAUUUGAGUCAUAUCUCAAAUGGGACUAGAGGAAACUCUGUUUAAGAUGGAUUGUUUUGAUUUUUUUUUUGUUUCUAAUCUGGGGUUUGUAUAAAGUUUCGAUUUUUAUAAAAAACAAUGACCAAAUCUGGUUGAUUUUACAACAAGAAGAAACAAAUCUUCACAAUCUGUUUCUUGAUUAUUUCAUAGAUCUAGUUGAUUUUGCAACUAGAAGAAACAAAUCUUGAUUGUUUUAAUUUUUUUAUUUAUAAUUUAAUAAAUAUAAAAAAAAGCCAUCGCUAAUGAUGGGCACGAGCAUCCCUACUAAAAUCCAUCACUAGUGAUAAAAUCAAGUUAAAUGACGUGGCGGACAAUGAUUGUGUGAGGUGAGUAAUGGAAAGUGGAGCACCCCUACCCCGCUAAGGCUGUUAUGGACUAAUCUUUUAUACAUCCUUCAUCACUAUCUUUAUAAAUAUACUAAAAAUCAAUUAAAAAUAUUUUUUUCUACUUUUAUCAAUACCUUUUCUUUUUCCUCUACUUACAACCAAGUGUGCUUUGCGUAAUUAAGUGAGACAUCACCUAACACAAUAUCCGUCUCAUAUCCAUAAAAUCUUUUAAAGCUAAGGGUGUAGGGUAUGAUUCAAACACUUUAGGGUGUUUGAGUCAUUAUCUACCCAAUGAUAUUAUGUCAUGUCAAGUCCACAUUCCACUCUCCAUUUUACAGUCAAUCACUGACAAUGAUUCAAACACCUAGAGAGUGGUAAAAAUUAAAAAUAAAAAUUAUGAUUGGUUGAAAGAGGUUGGGACCCACUAUUAAACCCCCUCUCUCAUCCUCUUCCCCGUUGAAGUGACUGUACACCGAAAGCCCAACUCCCCACUCACCGAAAAGAGGCGGGCGAUCAUUCCACCAACGGCAAACAAACUCCCCCCAUCCACUCCCCGCAAUCACUCCGACCCCCCUAAUUUCAAACCCGAAUACCCGCUCCAUUACCACUCACGAAUGUUUAUAACAUCUUUGUGUACUUAUAUUAAUGGUUGCCCAAAACAGUAAUCAAUGAUAGACAAAAAAUUGAAACAAGAAUGAAAAACAACAACCGAUAGGGAAACAUCACCGGCCGACCAACGAUUCCGACUCCUGUUUCAACGACAACGGUCAGCAACACAACACUGAUCAACUGUCUAACAGAAGGCGUGCCUGAUGACGUCAUGAUCGGCUUAUACCUCGAAGGAACCAUAUAUGACCAAUUGGAGAAGAAUAUUUGCAGGAAAUAAAGCAAGCAAGGAAGCAGCUUUCUCUUUCCCCCAAAUUAAAAGCAAGUUUCUCCUCUAAAUCUGUGACUCCAAAGGGUCCAUAUGUUUCUGUACUCGCUUUCGAUGUUUCACUCACUUAUUUGUCACCAUUUUCAUACCUUUUUUCUUUUUUACUUUUUACAUGAUCAAAAUUGUCUUUUAUCUUUGUUUUAAUUUUAAUCAUUGAUCAUGUAUUUUGUUUAGAAAUAUUAGAUUUUAAUAAUCCCAACUAUUUGCCGUUGAGGUGUUGAU